CCUACGGGUGACAGCAGUGAGGAAUAUUGGUUAAUGGCCGGAAGGCUGAACCAGCCAUGUCGCGUGAAGGUCAGUGCCCUAUGGGCGUUAAACUUCUUUUGUGCGGGAGCAAUAAUGGUCACGUGUGGCCAGACGAGAGUACCGUACGAAUAAGCAUCGGCUAACUCCGUGCCAGCAGCCGCGGUAAUACGGGGGAUGCAAGCGUUAUCCGGAUUUAUUGGGUUUAAAGGGUGCGUAGGCUGUGAGGUAAGUCAGCGGUGAAAUGCCCCCGCUCAACGGGGUGAAGUGCCAUUGAUACUGCCUGGCUGGAAUGCGGAUGCCGUGGGAGGAAUGUGUGGUGUAGCGGUGAAAUGCAUAGAUAUCACACAGAACACCGAUUGCGAAGGCAUCUCACGAAUCCGCGAUUGACGCUGAUGCACGAAAGCGUGGGUAUCAAACAGGAUUAGAUACCCGAGUAGUC
rnacentral:rRNA from 1 species